rnacentral:miRNA from 1 species
UAUCUAUUAAAGAGGCUAGC